UACAGAGGGUGCAAGCGUUAAUCGGAAUUACUGGGCGUAAAGCGCAUGUAGGUGGUUAUAUAAGUUUUGAUGUGAAAGCCCCGGGCUUAACCUGGGAAUGGCAUUGAAAACUGUAGGACUUGAGUCGGUGAGAGGGCAGUGGAAUUUCCGGUGUAGCGGUGAAAUGCGUAGAGAUCGGAAAGAACAUCAGUGGCGAAGGCGUCUGCCUGGCACCAGACUGACACUUAAGUGCGAAAGCGUGGGGAGCAAACAGGG
rnacentral:rRNA from 1 species